UGGUUGCGCGGGGCUAGCAGUGCCCGCUGCGCUCUCGGGGCUCUCCGAGCGCUGGGCACUGAUCGAGCUGCGGUCCCUGCGCGCAGCCGCCGCCGCCGCCGCCUCCUCUUGAGCGGGAUCGGCCCGAUGCGGCCGGUGGCCGGGGCGAUGUGAGCCGGGGCCCGCGGGCGCGGCCGGACCGCCGCGAUGUGGCUCAAGCCCGAGGAGGUGCUGCUGAAGAACGCCCUGAAGCUCUGGGUGACCCAGAAGAGCAGCUGCUACUUCAUCCUGCAGCGGCGCCGCGGGCACGGCGAGGGGGGUGGCCGCCUCACCGGUCGCCUGGUCGGUGCUCUGGAUGCAGUGCUGGACUCCAAUGCGCGUGUUGCUCCAUUUCGAAUUCUGCUUCAAGUUCCUGGGUCCCAGGUUUAUUCUCCCAUAGCAUGUGGUGAGUUACUGAAUGGAUCAGACGUUUACUGGGCCAUAGCCACUGGUGCAACUUUAGAGGAAAUAAACCAGCACUGGGACUGGCUAGAACAAAAUCUCCUUCAUACCUUGUCCGUCUUUGAUAAUAAAGACGAUAUUGCCAGUUUUGUCAAAGGGAAAGUCAAGGCUCUGAUUGCCGAGGAAGCGAGCAGCAGACUCGCCGAGCAGGAAGAGGAGCCAGAGAAGUUCCGAGAAGCCCUGGUGAAGUUCGAGGCCAGGUUCAACUUCCCCGAGGCAGAGAAGCUGGUCACCUACUACUCCUGCUGCUGCUGGAAGGGCAGGGUGCCCCGCCAAGGCUGGCUGUACCUCAGCAUCAACCACCUCUGCUUCUACUCCUUCUUCCUGGGCAAGGAACUUAAACUUGUCGUCCCUUGGGUUGACAUCCACAAAUUAGAAAGGACGUCCAAUGUCUUUCUGACGGAUACCAUCAGAAUCACCACGCAGAAUAAGGAGCGUGACUUCUCCAUGUUUCUGAACCUGGAUGAGGUGUUUAAGAUCAUGGAGCAGCUGGCAGAUGUGACACUCCGAAGGCUGCUGGAUAAUGAGGUCUUUGACCUGGAUCCAGAUCUGCAGGAGCCGAGCCAGAUCACCAAGAGGGACCUUGAAGCCAGAGCACAGAACGAGUUCUUCCGGGCUUUCUUCAGGCUGCCGAGGCGGGAGAAGCUGCAUGAGGUUGUGGACUGUUCCCUCUGGACGCCAUUCAGUCGUUGCCACACUGUGGGACGGAUGUUCACCUCUGACAGCUACGUCUGCUUUGCCAGCAGAGAAGAUGGCUGCUGUAAGGUCGUCCUGCCGCUCAGAGAGGUGGUGAGCAUCGAGAAGAUGGAAGACACGAGCCUGCUGCCUCAACCCAUCAUUGUCAGCAUCAGGAGCAAGAUGGCCUUCCAGUUCAUCGAGCUCAAGGACAGAGACCGCCUGGUGGAGGGGCUGCUCGUGCGGCUGAAGCAGGUCCACGCCAACCACCCCGUGCACUAUGACGCCUCCACUGAUGAGGACGUGGUGUCUCCUGUGUUUCAUUCAGCAAACAUGUGCAGUGACCACAGGUUUGGGGAUCUUGAAAUGGUGUCGUCUCAAAAUAGCGAGGAGAGUGGGAAGGAGAAGAGCCCGCUGCUGCACCCCGACGCCCCGGUCACUGUUUUCCAGCAGUCGGACAGCCAGAGUCCUGACUCUCGAAUGUCCAGGGAACAGAUAAAAAUAAGCCUGUGGAAUGACCACUUUGUGGAAUAUGGCAGGACCGUGUGUAUGUUUCGCACAGAGAAGAUUCGGAAGCUCGUAGCCAUGGGGAUUCCUGAAUCUUUACGUGGGAGACUUUGGCUGCUUUUCUCAGAUGCUGUGACGGACCUUGCUGCACACCCCGGUUACUAUGGAACUCUGGUGGAGGAGUCCCUGGGAAAAUGCUGUCAGGUCACCGAGGAGAUCGAGCGGGAUCUGCACCGCUCCCUCCCAGAGCACCCCGCCUUCCAGAACGAAACUGGGAUUGCUGCUUUGAGGAGAGUCCUGACAGCCUAUGCCCACCGGAACCCCAAGAUUGGAUACUGCCAGUCCAUGAACAUCCUGACCUCCGUGCUGCUGCUGUACGCCAAGGAGGAGGAAGCCUUUUGGCUGCUGGUUGCCGUGUGUGAGCGGAUGCUGCCUGAUUACUUCAAUCACCGGGUGAUCGGGGCGCAAGUGGACCAGUCUGUAUUUGAGGAGCUCAUCAAGGACCACCUCCCAGAGCUGGCGGAGCACAUGAAUGACCUCUCAGCCCUGGCGUCCGUUUCUCUCUCAUGGUUUCUGACCCUGUUCCUUAGCAUUAUGCCUCUGGAGAGUGCAGUGAAUGUCGUAGACUGCUUCUUCUACGAUGGGAUCAAAGCCAUCUUCCAGCUGGGACUGGCUAUACUCGAAGCCAAUGCUGAGGAGCUGUGCAGCAGCAGGGACGAUGGCCAGGCCUUGAUGGUCCUCAGCAGGUUUCUAGACCACAUCAAGAAUGAGGAAAGCCCAGGGCUUCCCGUUGGCAGCCACCAUGCCUUUUUCUCCGAUGACCAGGAGCCCUUCCCUGUGACUGACAUUGCUGACCUGAUCCGGGAUGCCUAUGAGAAAUUUGGAGACCAGUCUGUGGAACAGAUCGAGCACUUGCGCUGUAAACACAGGAUCAGGGUCCUCCAAGGCCAUGAGGACACCACAAAGCAGAAUGUGCUCCGAGUUGUUAUCCCAGAAGUCUCAAUUCCUCCUGAAGACCUAGAAGAACUCUAUGACUUGUUCAAGAGAGAGCACAUGAUGAGCUGUUACUGGGAGCAGCCCUGGCCUGUGACCCCGCGCCAUGACCCCAGCAGGCCCUACGCUGAGCACUACCGCAUAGAUGCCCGGCAGUUUGCACACCUGUUUCAGCUGGUCUCCCCCUGGACCUGUGGGGCUCACACAGAGAUCCUCGCUGAAAGGACUUUCCGGCUCCUGGAUGACAACGUGGACCAGCUCAUCGAAUUCAGAGCGUUGGUGGGCUGCCUGGACAUUAUGUAUAAUGGAGAAAUGAAUGAGAAAAUCAAACUGUUAUAUAGGCUUCAUAUCCCGCCAGCACUCACUGAAAAUGACUGUGACAGCCAGUCACCAUUGAAGAGUCCUCUGUUGUCGACAUCAAGACCCCUGGUUUUCGGAAAGCCCAAUGGCAUGUACCUCUUUGCACUGCUGUAUGUCCUCUCUGGGGUGUGCUCCCGCAGCGGGCAGGCAUGCGGUGUUCACCACUCCUUACAGCAGCCAGGUGACGCAGUUGAUUAUCAGAAACAGCUGAAGCAGAUGAUUAAGGAUUUAGCCAAAGAAAAAGAUAAAACUGAGAAAGAGUUGCCCAAAAUGAGCCAGAGAGAAUUUAUCCAGUUCUGUAAAACUCUGUACAGUAUGUUCCACGAAGAUCCAGAAGAAAAUGAUUUGUAUCAAGCCAUUGCCACGGUCACCACUCUGCUACUGCAGAUCGGAGAGGUGGGGCAGCGAAGCAGCUCUGGGAGCUGCUCCCAGGAGUGCUUGGAGGAGCUGCAGGCUUCAGCACCCUCUCUGGAGCAGGACUCAGUCUUUGUAGACACUGGGAAGACUCCCCAAGACUCCCAGGCAUUUCCUGCUGAGGCAGAAGGGGACUGGACCGUUUCCCUAGAACACAUUUUAGCAUCACUUCUGACUGAACAAUCAUUAGUAAACUUUUUUGAAAAGCCACUAGACAUGAAAUCCAAACUUCAAAAUGCCAAGCUCAAUCAGUACAAUCUUAAAACCUUUGAAGUGAGCCGCCAGUCACAGCCUGAACUCAAGCUGACUAACUUGUAGCAAGACAGCAGUUGCUAGAACACUGGAGUCUGCCAUGCCAAAGCACGACCAGACUGUUUUCUUGGGUUGUCACCCAUAAACCCAGAUCUCAGUCUCCUGAGUAACAUUUUACAAACCGGGUAUCUGAAUAAACCUGCAACUGUAGCCAGAAUGGACACAGCCCUCACGCAGUUCUAUUUAUUCUUCCAUUGGACAAUGUCAGUAUUCCAGGGUAUCCAUCAGUUCCCUUGAUACUGGACUCCCAAUCUUUUAUCCAUUUGGUGAAAUGGGCACUUGUGCUGAGAUGCCAGCAUGAUUUUGUCCUUGGAUGGGACACAAGUCAAAUAUGGCUUACUAGCCAAGGGACAAGGUGUAGAGUAUGCUAAUUAGUGGAUACAGCCCAUCUAUGGCUUCAGGGGAUGGAAUGCCAACUGUAGAAGCUCCUCAACCCCCACCUUUGCUGGGUACUACCAUCACCAAUGGGGAUUCUGAGACCUUUAUGGCAGCAUUUUGGAUAGAGCAGUAGCAUAAAUGGUGAAUUAUAAUCCUGUUACACUUUAAGGAUGAAUUUAAUAGUUUUGUUCUUGUUAACCUCAUCAAGAAAUCAAUUGUUUUUUAAAGACAAUUAUACUCAAUACAGAUAUAGGCAGAUUAAAUACUACAAUGUUUAUAUCAUUAAAUCUAAGAUCAAUUGUUAUCAUUUUAAUGUUUCUUACAAUGUGAUAAGUGGCCAAUGACAACUGAAUUCUAUAUCCUGGUUUUUGGAAAAAUGUUUAUUGUAGCAUUAACAAAACAUGCAGGUAUAAAAUCAUUAACAUCACGCCUGCCAUUUCUCAACUACCCAGGACAGAGGUUCUCAAGCCAGGUUGUAGUUCAACUUUGGAAACCUGCUUAGGCCCUUUCGAAUAAACU